GGCGGUAAGCACAUUUUAGAUAAUAUUUUAAUAAAUAUUUUUAAAAAAUAUUAUUUUUAUAUUUUUAAAUUGAAUAUUAUUUAGAUAAAAUAGUCGGUAUAUACCAUAAAAAAAAAAAAUUUGUCAAUCCAAUUUCAACAAAUAUCUUCGAUUUAUAUCACUAUUUUUUUCAAAUCUGAUUGGGUGACAAUUUAAGAAAAAUUUGAAUUAAAAGAUUCAUUUUGCCUCCGAUUCAAGUUUCUUAAAAAAUAAAUUCAGAUUAAAUCGAAGCAACCCAUGCAUACAUGCAUGCUUAUGGAAAGAGAGAGAGAGAGAG
rnacentral:lncRNA from 1 species